rnacentral:rRNA from 1 species
UUGGAGGGCAAGUCUGGUGCCAGCAGCCGCGGUAAUUCCAGCUCCAAUAGCGUAUAUUAAAGUUGUUGCAGUUAAAAAGCUCGUAGUUGAAUUUCGGGGUUAGUAGGUUGGUCAUGCCUCUGGUAUGUACUGGUCUCACUGAUUCCUCCUUCCUGAUGAACCUUAAUGCCAUUAAUUUGGUGUUUUGGGGAAUUUGGACUGUUACUUUGAAAAAAUUAGAGUGUUUAAAGCAAGCUAACGCUUGAAUACAUUAGCAUGGAAUAAUGAAAUAGGACGUUCGAUCCUAUUUUGUUGGUUUCUAGGAUUGACGUAAUGAUUAAUAGGGAUAGUUGGGGGCAUUAGUAUUCAAUUGCCAGAGGUGAAAUUCUUGGAUUUAUUGAAGACUAACUACUGCGAAAGCAUUUGCCAAGGAUGUUUUCAUUAAUCAAGAACGAAAGUUAGGGGAUCGAAGACGAUCAGAUACCGUCGUAGUCUUAACCAUAAACUAUGCCGACUAGGGAUCGGAUGAUGUUAAUUUUUUAAUGACUCAUUCGGCGCCUUACGGGAAAC